rnacentral:rRNA from 1 species
UACGGGGGGGGCAAGCGUUGUUCGGAAUUACUGGGCGUAAAGGGCUCGUAGGCGGCCAACUAAGUCAGACGUGAAAUCCCUCGGCUUAACCGGGGAACUGCGUCUGAUACUGGAUGGCUUGAGGUUGGGAGAGGGAUGCGGAAUUCCAGGUGUAGCGGUGAAAUGCGUAGAGAUCUGGAAGAACACCAAAGGCGAAGGCAGCGUCCUGGGAAGUGACUGACGCUCAUGUGCGAAAGCUAGGGGAGCGAACGGG